rnacentral:rRNA from 1 species
UUGAGGUUAAGCUACUAAGAGCACACGGAGGAUGCCUAGGCGCUAGGAGUCGAUGAAGGACGUGGCGAACAACGAAACUGCCUCGGGGAGCUGUAAGCAAGCUUUGAUCCGGGGGUGUCCGAAUGGGGAAACCCGGCUGUGGUAAUACGCAGUCACUCCCACCUGAAUACAUAGGGUGGGUAGAGACAGACCAGGGGAACUGAAACAUCUAAGUACCCUGAGGAAGAGAAAACAAUAGUGAUUCCGUCAGUAGCGGCGAGCGAACGCGGAUUAGCCCAAACCAAGGAGCUUGCUCCUUGGGGUUGUGGGACGUCUCACAUGGAGUUACAAAGGAAUAUAUUAAGCGAAGAGGUCUGGAAAGGCCCGGCAUAGAAGGUAAAAGCCCUGUAGCUGAAAAUGUGUUCUCUCCGAGACGUAUCCCGAGUAGUGCGGGGCACGUGAAACCCCGUAUGAAUCCAGCAGGACCAUCUGCUAAGGCUAAAUACUCCCUAGCGACCGAUAGUGAAACAGUACCGUGAGGGAAAGGUGAAAAGCACCCCGGAAGGGGAGUGAAAUAGAACCUGAAACCGUGUGCUUACAAAAAGUCAGAGCCCUAUUAAUGGGUGAUGGCGUGCCUUUUGUAGAAUGAACCGGCGAGUUACGUUCCCGUGCAAGGUUAAGGUGAGAAGCCGGAGCCGCAGCGAAAGCGAGUCUGAAUAGGGCGAAUUAUAGUACGUGGACGUAGACCCGAAACCGAGUGAUCUACCCCUGUCCAGGGUGAAGGUGCGGUAACACGCACUGGAGGCCCGAACCCACGCAUGUUGAAAAAUGCGGGGAUGAGGUGGGGGUAGCGGAGAAAUUCCAAUCGAACUCGGAGAUAGCUGGUUCUCCCCGAAAUAGCUUUAGGGCUAGCCUCGGAUGAAGAGUCGUGGAGGUAGAGCACUGAUUGGGUGCGGGGCCCGCAAGGGUUACCAAGCUCAGUCAAACUCCGAAUGCCAUGUACUUAUAUCCGGGAGUCAGACAGUGAGUGCUAAGAUCCAUUGUCGAAAGGGAAACAGCCCAGACCAUCAGCUAAGGUCCCCAAGUGUGUGUUGAGUGGAAAAGGAUGUGGAGUUGCACAGACAACCAGGAUGUUGGCUUAGAAGCAGCCACCAUUGAAAGAGUGCGUAAUAGCUCACUGGUCGAGUGACUCUGCGCCGAAAAUGUAACGGGGCUAAACACACCACCGAAGCUAUGGCUAGAUGCUUUGCAUCUGGGGUAGGGGAGCGUUGUAUAGGGGUUGAAGGUGUACCGUGAGGAGCGCUGGACACUAUACAAGUGAGAAUGCCGGUAUAAGUAACGAAAAGAUCAGUGAGAAUCUGAUCCGCCGAAAGCCCAAGGUUUCCUGAGGAAGGCUCGUCCUCUCAGGGUAAGUCGGGACCUAACGCGAGGCCGAAGGGCGUAGUGGAUGGACAACAGGUUGAAAUUCCUGUACCACCGUAAUCCGUUAUGAGUAAUGGGGUGACGCAGCAGGGUAGUGACGCGGACUGAUGGAAUAGUCCGUCUAAGCAGUGAGGCUUGUGUGUAGGCAAAUCCGCACACUAAUAGGCUGGGCUGUGAUGGGGAGCGAAAAUUAUAGUAGCGAAGGUCAUGAUCUCACACUGCCAAGAAAAGCCUCUAACCAGGAGAAGGUGCCCGUACCGCAAACCGACACAGGUAGGCGAGAAGAGAAUUCUAAGGCGCGCGGAAGAACUCUCGUUAAGGAACUCGGCAAAAUGACCCCGUAACUUCGGGAGAAGGGGUGCCCCGGUAGUGUGAAUAGCACGAGGGGGCCGCAGUGAAAAGGCCCAAGCGACUGUUUAGCAAAAACACAGGUCUGUGCGAAGCCGUAAGGCGAAGUAUACGGGCUGACGCCUGCCCGGUGCUGGAAGGUUAAGGGGAGUGGUUAGGGGAAACCCGAAGCUAUGAACCGAAGCCCCAGUAAACGGCGGCCGUAACUAUAACGGUCCUAAGGUAGCGAAAUUCCUUGUCAGGUAAAUUCUGACCCGCACGAAUGGCGUAACGAUUUGGGCGCUGUCUCAACGAGAGAUCCGGUGAAAUUUUAAUACCUGUGAAGAUGCAGGUUACCCGCGACAAGACGGAAAGACCCCAUGGAGCUUUACUGCAGCUUGAUAUUGAAUUUGGGUACGAUUUGUACAGGAUAGGUGGGAGCCUGAGAAAUAGGAGCGCAAGCUUCUAUGGAGGCGCCGUUGGGAUACCACCCUGAUCGUAUCUAGGUUCUAACCUAGGACCGUAAACCGGUUCGGGGACAGUGUCAGGUGGGCAGUUUGACUGGGGCGGUCGCCUCCUAAAGAGUAACGGAGGCGCCCCAAGGUUCCCUCAGAAUGGUUGGAAAUCAUUCGAAGAGUGCAAAGGCAGAAGGGAGCUUGACUGCGAGACCUACAAGUCGAGCAGGGACGAAAGUCGGGCUUAGUGAUCCGGUGGUACCGCAUGGAAGGGCCAUCGCUCAACGGAUAAAAGCUACCCUGGGGAUAACAGGCUUAUCUCCCCCAAGAGUCCACAUCGACGGGGAGGUUUGGCACCUCGAUGUCGGCUCAUCGCAUCCUGGGGCUGAAGUAGGUCCCAAGGGUUGGGCUGUUCGCCCAUUAAAGCGGUACGCGAGCUGGGUUCAGAACGUCGUGAGACAGUUCGGUCCCUAUCUGUCGUGGGCGCAGGAAAUUUGAGAGGAGCUGUCCUUAGUACGAGAGGACCGGGAUGGACGCACCUCUGGUGUACCAGUUGUUCCGCCAGGAGCAUAGCUGGGUAGCUACGUGCGGACGGGAUAAGCGCUGAAAGCAUCUAAGCGUGAAGCCCCCCUCAAGAUGAGAUUUCCCAAUUAGUAAGACCCCUUGAAGACUACGAGGUAGAUAGGUUGGAGGUGGAAGUGCAGUAAUGCACGGAGCUGACCAAUACUAAUCGGUCGAGGGCUUAUCCUAAA